CAGGAUUUUUGUGAUAAUUUUCUAGAAAGGCUAAAAGUUCUUCCCUGGACAUUAGAAAGGGAGGCUACUUCAUCAUUUGAUGGUGAUUCAGAGGCAUCUUUUAAAGGUGUAAGUUCCAGGAAGAAUGUGAAAACAAAACAGUGUACCCAUAUUGUCAGCUCCCUGCUUGAAAUGGCUGUGAUCAAGAGGCUUUCUUUGAGAGUAUGGAAAGAGUACAGUAGGGUUGCACUGGCACUCUCAGUGCUAGAACUGGAAAUAGCUGUUUCUCUGAUUCUCUGUGCUCCAUUUCAUCUACCACUUUCUUUCAGUGAAACAAAAAGCUUGGUUGCUUUCUUGACAUAAAACAUUGGCAUCUCUUUUGGAAGACAGUGGAAAUUGGAAACAAUUUCUGUGAAAGCUGUAUUCCUUACACCUCUGUGGCAUGUAAUGAAUAGGAUCUUGGUUAAAAAAAUAAUAAUAAAAUGUCUG
rnacentral:lncRNA from 1 species